rnacentral:lncRNA from 1 species
GACCGCGUCGUGCCAUUCAAAAGUGGUGAAGCCGUGACCCACAACAGUGUCCACAUAACCCGUGGCAAUGGCUGCAGCAGCACGGCGUGUAAUCUGGAUGGACAUGUCAGGGUACACGUGCACUUACUUCAAGAUGACGACACUCCACCUCAAGAACAGCCUCUCCUCAAUGAUAAGUAGCGAGAUUAAAUGAAAGGAAGAUAUCACAUCCGUAACCAGACUGAUACUGUGUUUUCCUUUCA